AAGUGGAUUAGUGGCGCACGGGUGAGUAAUACAUAGAUAACAUACCCUUUAGUCUGGAAUAGCCACUGGAAACGGUGAUUAAUACUGGAUACUCCCUACGGGGGAAAGUUUUUCGCUAAAGGAUUGGUCUAUGUCCUAUCAGCUUGUUGGUGAGGUAAUGGCUCACCAAGGCUAUGACGGGUAUCCGGCCUGAGAGGGUGAUCGGACACACUGGAACUGAGACACGGUCCAGACUCCUACGGGAGGCAGCAGUAGGGAAUAUUGCUCAAUGGGGGAAACCCUGAAGCAGCAACGCCGCGUGGAGGAUGAAGGUUUUAGGAUUGUAAACUCCUUUCGUUAGAGAAGAUU
rnacentral:rRNA from 1 species